CACAUGACAAGUCUCAGCAGACCAGUGAAGACGCCCCCCCACUAGGGCGUGGAGUUGGCAUCAGGCACAGAAUUCUAGCCCAUAACGCCUAGUCUCACCACACCUCCAAAGGUACUCAGCAGUGAUAAAGAUUGUUUAUAAGCGCAAGCUUGAGUCAGUUAGGGGAAAGAGGGCCGGCCAAUCCGGUGCCAGCCGCCGCGGCUACACCGGAGGCCCGAGUUGAUUUGGAACGGCGUUAAGCGUGAUUAGGGAGUAUAAAAAUUAGGAUUAAAUUCAAGCUUAGCUGUGAUAAUCUUGCUACUUAGAAACCCAGGAACGAAAGNNNCCUAAUAUUCCUCUUGAAUACACGACAGUUUGGGUACAAACUGGGAUUAGUAGAUACCCCACUAUG
rnacentral:rRNA from 1 species